ACAAAAAAAUGGCUUCACAUACGAUCAAGCUUUUCAACUAUCAAGAGAUCAUUCGGAAUUUGUACUGUGAAGGUUUAUCCUUUUUGUUUUCCAAAAAUUCAUUCAAUUUAUCUAUUGUCGGACUAAAUCAUCUUAGCCUUUAUCUCUAUAUAUAUAGAAGAGAAGUACAAAAUCAAAAAUUACUAAAAAUUUCCAAGAUUACCACGACCCGAUUGAGGUGGGAUCCGCGCGUUAACCCGUCAAAGCUCUCGACCCGUUUGAUUGAGGAUCCGACGUUAUUGAUUGGAUCCAAAGACAUAGACUUGAAUAACCUAAUUGAUAUUUUCCUCCUUUUGAUCGUCGUCUACCUAGAACACCUUUCGUAAGUUUUUUUUGUUCUUUGUACUUCUUCUUUCGAGAAUCUCUCCCUCUUCAUGUGACGAGUUUGAAGUGGUGGUUGCGUGCAAAUUCCACCUGAUGUAAAAGAAGAUCGCGGGUGAGAGUUUUUGAGAAGAUAAUGGAUAAGCGGCGUUUUGGGUUUGUAGAUUAGAAGGUAAAUCUUUUUCUUUUUUUUUUUUUUUCUUUCAUAACCUGUUAUAUGUAAGUUUUUUUGGUUCAGUAUAAUUGAUACGAAUUAAUCGAAUUCCACUUGAUUUGAGGGCGAGAGAGAGAGAGAGAGAGUUUGAAGAGACUGAGUUGAUUGAGACUGGAAACAAAGAAGAGAUGCAGUGUCGGUGGUGUUGUAGAGGAAGAAGAAAGCAACUACGGUGACGAUAAAGCAAAUAGAAGACAACAAGUCGAGAAAUCUAGGUUUUUGGGUUCAUUGAUUCGUCGUCGGAUCUAUUGAUGAGUUGGUAAUUCUAUGAUCUGAGAUUUUGGCAGCUUGGUAGGAGACGGCGCCGCACGAUCUUGAAUCAACAUCAGUUCAAAGAGGGAGCCCAGAACUCUUAAUAAAACUUCUAAAUCAGAACCUGAUAUUUUGUGAUCUGUUCCUCAAAAUUUGAGAUUUGUGUAUUGUUGUCUGCAAGUGAAUGAUGUAAUGCGGUUGUUGUUGGUUGGAACUAACUUGAAUGCAAUGCAAAAGAGCUCGGAUUUAGAAAGCAGAGUCUAUGAGAGCUGUGACGUCAAAUGCAAAUUGCCAAAAUAUCAUCUUUUAUCUUUUCAGGAGCUGAGUAGUUAUUUGGAAGACAAUACAACCAGAUUUGUUAUAGUUGAUAAGAGCACUGAUGGGGACUUCUUACGAAUUGAUUAUCAACAUCAGCCGGUGUUGUGUUUCUAAAGUAAUCAUAGUUGACCAGAAAUGUUUCUUCUCUGAUAACUUCUUCUUUUUCUUCUUUUUAUUGUUCAGUUUGGAUCAUUGGGUUCUUUUAACAAGGUUGUUUCCUCACUAAUUCGGAUGAGAGGAUACAAAUUUGGUAGUUACAGAAGUCGUUCAAAAUUUGGAGCUCAUGAUUUAGUGACUUAUACGAAGUGGCUUGAGAACUUAUGGUGAGAAGAUUUUCAGAUCAAAGCUUGAGCCAAUGUGAUGGAAGAAACACUAAAAAUCUAGAGAAAUUGAAACAGGUCAUCGUGGUGAAGUGGAAGAAGAAGAAGAAGCAAAAAAUACUCUCCAGUCUCCACCUUACUUUUUUUUUCUUCUGUACCAAACUCUCAACCUUAGAACUGGUUUUAAAUGGGCUGUAUCAAAUUGAAAUUUAAAUGGUGUGAGUAGGAAACCAUAGGGACAUAAAAUUUAGGUUUCUCUACUUCAAAUAUUUCUGUGUUUCGAGCAAUAUACCGAAUAUUCACGUAUAAAAGAAAGUUUUCAAUCCUU